rnacentral:RNase_P_RNA from 1 species
UCACAGUAAGUGCCAAUGAAAAUUGGAAGGGAGUGAUCUUUUGGAUAAAAGGGCAACAGAAAGUUAUACCGCCUGAAAAGGUAAGGGUGAAAUGGUAGUGUAAGAGACUACCGGGUACUGUAGUAAUACAGUAUUGCGAGGCAACCCCCCUUGGAGCAAGGUUAAACCGCAUAGAUAGAUAAUCAUCUAAAACAGAAUCCGGCUUAUUUGAUACUUACACAU